rnacentral:lncRNA from 1 species
AUGUGGUGUUGGCAACACGAGUGAGGCGUCGGGAAGUCAAGCCGGUGCGGACGCUCGCCAAAAGGGAAAGCUCUAAGCUUUAAAGUAAGUCAAUCAAAUGGAUGGUGAUCAACGCAAGGCUUCGGAACCGAACACAAUCAAGAAGUUGUUCUUCACUUUUGUCUUAAAUAUUCGCUAGUGAUAAUUUUGUAAUGAAAGGAAUACUUAUGUAUCCUUGUUGUGUUGUGAUGGUUUUCAAACACUUAUGUUCUAAACUAGAAUUAAAAUCUGCGUUUAUUUU